rnacentral:lncRNA from 1 species
UUUUAGCAUGGUGUACUUCUAGUAUUGUUUCAUAUUGUACGGAUCAGAUUAGGUUGAGAGAGAUCAUUGGACUGUGGAUGUAGAGAUUGUGAGUUACACAUUGAGUACUUAGUUUCACAUGCUAUGGUAUCUGUUGUAGAUGUCGUGGUUUAGCACGGCGGUAGUGGACAGAUUUUGGAUAUUGAGAGGUAUAUGGGUACUAAGAGGUAUAUGAUUGUGCUACCAUGAUAUAUGAAUUAGUUGACAUUCUAUG